UACGAAGGGGGCUAGCGUUGUCCGGAUUUAUUGGGCGUAAAGCGCGUGUAGGCGGCCACGCAGGUCCGCUGUGAAAACUCGAGGCUCAACCUCGAGCUGUCGGUGGAAACCGCGUGGCUAGAGUCCGGAAGAGGGGACUGGAAUUCCCGGUGUAGCGGUGGAAUGCGCAGAUAUCGGGAGGAACACCCGUGGCGAAGGCGGGUCCCUGGGACGGUACUGACGCUGAGACGCGAAAGCGUGGGGAGCGAACAGG
rnacentral:rRNA from 1 species